CAAUAGCGUAUAUUAAAGUUGUUGCAGUUAAAAAGCUCGUAGUUGGAUUUGUGGUGUACUUCGGCGGCCCGUCACUAUGUGAUGGAGCUUGCUGAAGUCGCCAUCCUUGGGUGGAUCCUGUGUGGCAUUAAGUUGUCGUGCAGGGGAUGCCCAUCGUUUACUGUGAGAAAAUUAGAGUGUUCAAAGCAGGCUUAUGCCGUUGAAUAUGUUAGCAUGGAAUAAUAAGAUAGGACCUUGGUACUAUUUUGUUGGUUUGCGCACCAAGGUAAUGAUUAAUAGGGACAGUUGGGGGUAUUCGUAUUUCAUUGUCAGAGGUGAAAUUCUUGGAUUUUUGAAAGACGAACUACUGCGACAGCAUUUACCAAGGAUGUUUUCAUUAA
rnacentral:rRNA from 1 species